GUUUGAGAACGUUUUUUUUUUUUUUAUAAGCUUCAAAAUUAACUAAUAAGUAAAAACUACCUAUUAGGUAUAUUAUUUUAUCUAGUGUCCUAAGUCCUUAUACCCUUAGAUUGAAUUUUUAUUUUUUAAAUAAUAUUUGUAUUAAUUGUGUACAAGUCAUGGAGUGGAGUAGGUCUGUAAAUACAGAGUUCAUUGAGUUAGUUCAAACCAAGUUUAUGGAAAAUAAUUGUGGACAGCGUUCACUUUUAACAUUUCCAUUUUCGGGUUUCAUCUCGUCAGACUGCGAAAUUAAUUUUUUUUCAAGUCAUUAUUUAAGCUAUCUACUUAUCUGUUUAAUUAAUUUGGCAAUUGACAGUGACUGCCAUUCUGAGUUGAAAUUAAAUCUAGUCACUUUAAGAGAACUAUGAAAUUUCCACCAUUUUUGUGUCGAAUUCAUAGCUUCCCGAGAACUGGUCGAUCGUGUUUCAGCCGUUCAAUUGAAUCAAAGCCGCGGAAUUGGAAAUAUUUUUACCUCAGUUUGUGACAAGUUUACCUACUUGAUAUUGCACUAGAAUAUCGACAAUGUUUUUAACAGCGUGAUAAGCUGAACAUUGCUGUUUUGCUAUUACCACAAAGAUACCAUGAGCUGAAAAAUCACUGCAAGGUGCCGGGUGAGUGAAUUGAUAAACAACCUUCUAUGUGCCAUUACUUUUCAAGUCUAGCUACAAUAAACAUGGAUACUUGUAUAUUUGAAUCAGAAACAAUUAAAUUAUGGCUUGAAGAAUAUCUACCAGAAUAAAAAUAAGUAUUGUUUGACCGUGACUCAUGAGUAUUACAAAAGUAUUUACACUCAUAACAAAUGCGGAAGAUAAAGAAAAUCAUUAAAAUGAAAAAAGUAUAAUACAGAUUUAGGUUAGAGUUCACAACAUGUAUAGAGUUUGAUAGAAACAUAUAAUAGGCAUUUAGAUGUACGAUAAGUAGAUAACUUCAGUAGAGAAAAACGUCAGAGAGUCGAAACAUACUUGUAGGUAUUUAAAGUCAUAGUGGUGAACAAUUUUAUUAGAUUAAUGUAAACAAUAAAAGCACACAUUAUAAAUAGACAAUAAAUGGAAAAUUUCAAAUCAAAAUUCACAUUUAUAAUUUAUAGAAAAAAGUACUUCUCUUUGUUCUAUCAACUUUCUUCUUGAUUUCAUAAAAGAAUGGAAUAAAUGUAUUCAUAUAUUUACAUAUAUCUAUUUUUGAAAAUUCAAUGAUACAAUUAUUGUAAUUACAACAAUUAAACACAUUACAUUUUUAAUGAAGAAAAGCGAGAAAAUUGUUAGAAAUUAAACACAUGUCUUAUUGACCAUGCGUAAUAUGGAUAUCAGAGCUUAUAAGUAAAUUAAAAUUAAUAUCAAUAUUUUGACAAAGCUUAUUUAAUUAAUAGAAAAAUAUAAAAAAAAAAAGCUUAGGACUACAUCAUUCUUGGAUUUCAAUAGUCUGUCAUUAGUUGAUUUUCUUCAUUAAAUUUAGAAUGUGCACACACGUUAUAUAUACACCAUGAUCGGUAAACGAAAACAAUUAAUACACUUAUUCAAAACUAUUUGAUAGAAAAAAAAAGUACUUACCUGCUUGAUAAAUAAUUUUAUCUUGAUUUAGUUUUAGUUAUUAAACAUUUCAACUUUUAUUUGAAAUUUGUCUUGAUAUUAAUUAAAUAAUUAUAAUUUGUGUUUCUAUGUUUAAAUGUUGUUUUUUUGUUUAUUUAUUAUAAUUUAUAACUUUGAUGCGAGUCUUUCAACUUUUUAUCGAGUUUCCUUAUCAGAGUUUUCUAGUUGUUUUAUGUAAAAUCUUGUUAAUUGGUUUGUCUUGUUUAAUGUUUUUAUAAUAAUUUAUAAGCUACCUAAACUUUUUUUAUUAUUAAAACUGUCAUAAAUUUCUUAUUUGUAUUAUUUUCCAAUUAAAUGAUAUUGUUAUAGUUUAAAAUAAUAAGAAAUUCUAGGACUGUAAUAAAUAAACCUUAUAUUUUUUUAGAGGAGGUUUAUUUAUAUUAAUUUAAAAUCAAGUUGUUUUCUGUCAAUAAAAAUACUUUGUUUUAAUCAAA